rnacentral:rRNA from 1 species
GACGUAGGAUGCAAGCGUUGUCCGGAUUUAUUGGGCGUAAAGAGUUCGUAGGCGGUCUGUUAAGUCUGAUGUUAAAGAUCGAGGCUCAACCUCGGGAGUGCAUUGGAUACUGGCAGGCUGGAGUAUGGUAGAGGUGAGUGGAAUUCCCAGUGUAGCGGUGAAAUGCGUAGAUAUUGGGAAGAACACCGGUGGCGUAAGCGACUCACUGGGCCAUAACUGACGCUGAGGAACGAAAGCCAGGGGAGCGAAUGGG